GCGCAACCCUGUCCUUAGUUACCAGCACGUUAUGGUGGGCACUCUAAGGAGACUGCCGGUGACAAACCGGAGGAAGUGGGGAUGACGUCAAGUCAUCAUGGCCCUUACGGCCUGGGCUACACACGUGCUACAAUGGUCGGUACAAAGGGUUGCCAAGCCGCGAGGUGGAGCUAAUCCCAUAAAACCGAUCGUAGUCCGGAUCGCAGUCUGCAACUCGACUGCGUGAAGUCGGAAUCGCUAGUAAUCGUGAAUCAGAAUGUCACGGUGAAUACGUUCCCGGGCCUU
rnacentral:rRNA from 1 species